GACUUCGUAGUUUAGUCGGUAAAACAUUGUUGCGUUUGAGCAUAUUUCUUUCGAUGAUUCGAAUCCAGCCGAAGUCC